rnacentral:rRNA from 1 species
UACGAAGGGGGCUAGCGUUGCUCGGAUUGACUGGGCGUAAAGGGCGCGUAGGCGGUUCGUACAGUCAGACGUGAAAUCCCCGGGCUCAACCCGGGAACUGCGUCCGAUACUGGCAGGCUUGAAUCCGGGAGAGGGAUGCGGAAUUCCAGGUGUAGCGGUGAAAUGCGUAGAUAUCUGGAGGAACACCGGUGGCGAAGGCGGCAUCCUGGACCGGCAUUGACGCUGAGGCGCGAAAGCCAGGGGAGCAAAGCGGG